rnacentral:rRNA from 1 species
UACGGGGGGUGCAAGCGUUAUUCGGAAUCAUUGGGCGUAAAGAGCGCGUAGGCGGACGUAUAAGUCAGCUGUGAAAGCCCGGGGCUCAACCCCGGAAGUGCAGUUGAUACUGUAUGUCUUGAAUAUGGGAGAGGAAAGUGGAAUUCCUGGUGUAGCGGUGAAAUGCGUAGAUAUCAGGAGGAAUACCGGUGGCGAAGGCGACUUUCUGGACCAAUAUUGACGCUGAGGCG